UGAGGAAUCUUGCGCAAUGGAGGAAACUCUGACGCAGCCACGCCGCGUGCUGGAAGACGGCCCUAUGGGUUGUAAACAGCUUUUGAUAGGGAAGAACCUGGACCUUUCGAGGACCACUGACGGUACCUAUCGAAUAAGCACCGGCUAACUCCGUGCCAGCAGCCGCGGUAAUACGGAGGGUGCAAGCGUUGUCCGGAAUCAUUGGGUGUAAAGGGUGCGUAGGCGGAAGCCUAAGUCGGAGGUGAAAUCUUGCCGCUCAACGGUAAAAUGGCCUUCGAUACUGGGUUUCUUGAGUCCAGAAGAGGUUGGUGGAAUUCGUGGUGUAGCGGUGAAAUGCAUAGAUAUCACGAAGAACACCGGUGGCGAAGGCGGCCAACUGGUCUGGUACUGACGCUGAGGCACGAGAGCGUGGGGAGCGAACAGGAUUAGAUACCCCCGUAGUCC
rnacentral:rRNA from 1 species